rnacentral:rRNA from 1 species
AACGAACGCUGGCGGCAUGCCUAACACAUGCAAGUCGAACGAGACCUUCGGGUCUAGUAGCGCACGGGUGCGUAACGCGUGGGAACCUGCCCUUAGGUUCGGAAUAACUCCCCGAAAGGGGUGCUAAUACCGGAUAAUGUCUUCGGACCAAAGAUUUAUCGCCUUUGGAUGGGCCCGCGUUGGAUUAGCUAGUUGGUAGGGUAAAAGCCUACCAAGGCGACGAUCCAUAGCUGGUCUGAGAGGAUGAUCAGCCACACUGGGACUGAGACACGGCCCAGACUCCUACGGGAGGCAGCAGUGGGGAAUAUUGGACGAUGGGCGAAAGCCUGAUCCAGCAAUGCCGCGUGAGUGAUGAAGGCCUUAGGGUUGUAAAGCUCUUUUACCCGAGAUGAUAAUGACAGUACCGGGAGAAUAAGCUCCGGCUAACUCCGUG